GUCCAAAUCGUCUAGGGGUUAGGACUCCACGCUGUGGACGUGGCAACGUAGGUUCGAAUCCUGCUUUGGACA
rnacentral:tRNA from 1 species